rnacentral:tRNA from 1 species
GUCAAGUUAGUUUAACUAAAACAUCAGCUUGUGGAUUUGAAAAUGAAAUUUAUUUUCACUUGACC